AAGGAGGCCCGGUGUGCAGCACUCUGCCCCCCCACCACCACCAUUAAGUGUCAUCACUAGGUAUUUCCCAGAGGCAGGAGAGAAAGGACCCCAGGUUAAUGCCACCUCUGAAGGACAGCUCCUUGAAGCACCCAACCCCGACCAGGAUUGGUCCAUGGUGCCGGCACCCACCAGAGAUGGGGCAGCAAGGAGCUCAGGAUAUUGUCUCCUUUUCAGAGGGCCCCUCCCGCACUUCUGCAGCUCCAUCCCCUCCCAGCCUGUGGUGUCAUCAUCAGGAAUGAGGUCCCAGAAACCGGAAGGCGCACAGGAACUGGACGGGAGAGAUAAGAGUUCAGCUGCACGUGAUAGGUAGUUCAGCAGUAUUGACCAAGGCUUCACAAGAAAUCUAGUUCCUUUUCAGCAACAUGUGAGAGAGAAUAAACACAAGUAAACUUUAAUGUCACCAUAAAGAAUAAGGUACAAUGAAAAAGCCGGACAGUGCUGAUGGCCCAUCAGCAAGAGACAAUGGACAGUAAAAAAGCGUAGUCUUCCUGUGAACGUGUGGGUCAGCCUGUGAAGAAUGGCUAGAAGGGCCCUACAGAGGCAUGCAACAAUGUCACCUGAUACUGGAACCCAUCUUGAAUUCUGUACUUUUCCAGGAGAAGCGGUGGGGGAAUGUCAAACUAGGAAACAAAGGACUCCUGUGUUAUGUAAAUCCUAUUUAAGGGUGGGGAAUGAGGUAAUCCAGGUUGUCAGUUCUCCCCCGCUGCCCCACCCAAGAUGACUGCUGGAAACAACUAAGACUGAACUGGGGGAAAGAACUGGACCCAGGCUGGAAGGGCGUCUGGCCUGAGAAGAAGAUUAUUAG